UACGUAGGGGGGCAAGCGUUUGUCCGGAUUUAUUGGGCGUAAAGAGCGUGUAGGCGGCUUUACAGGUCCGUUGUGAAAACUCGAGGCUCAACCUCGAGACGCCGGUGGAAACCGUAAGGCUAGAGUCCGGAAGAGGAGAGUGGAAUUCCUGGUGUAGCGGUGAAAUGCGCAGAUAUCAGGAGGAACACCCGUGGCGAAAGCGGCUCUCUGGGACGGUAUUGACGCUGAGACGCGAAAGCGUGGGGAGCAAACAGG
rnacentral:rRNA from 1 species